CGAAUGAGGAGAUUCAUCGUCAAAGUAUCUGGUAUUGGUGCAAGUUAUGAUAUGRUAAAUAAUCCUCGUGGUUAGUAUAUUGUACAUUCUUGUAUUAUUUAAUAWUUUGCURGGUACGUCGGCGUGCACUUCUCCUCUAGUAGAACGUCGCGACUCGUUGAGUGUUGAUCUAUGGYCUAAAUGGUUGCCUUUGAUUUUGCUUGCAUUGUCGGAGACCUUUAGUGUCCUGAUCAUCUGCUCGACGGUAUACAUAUGGUAURAAGUCGCWAUUAUAUGCGUUAAAUCCGCUGCAAGUGUGGUUAAUAUUUCGGCAGUAUGGAUCUGAUGCCAUCGCUGAUGUUGACUCACUGUUAGCAUGUGGUAUUCUUUAACUGAC
rnacentral:rRNA from 1 species